CUCCUGUGGAGGCUGUUAUGGUUUGAAUGAUGCCCCCUACCUCAGGAAGAUAUGUUCAAGUCCUAACUCUCAGAAUCUCAGGAAUGUGACCUUAUUUGAAAAUAGGGUCAUUACAGAUUCUAAUUAGUUAAGAUGAAGUCAUAUUGUAGUAGGGUGGGCCCCUAAUCCAAUAAAAGUGGUGUUCUUAUAAGAGGAGGGAAAUCUAGACACAAACUUGUACAGAUGGAAGACCACGUGAAGACACGGAGAAUGUUACCUGAUGACACAGCAGAGAUUGGUGUUACGCAGCUGCAGGCUAUGGAGGCUACUAAAGGCUGGAAGAGACAAGGAAGGAUCCUCCCACAGUUUUCAGAGGGAGCACGGUUCUGCCAAACCCUUGACUUUGAACUUCCCGCUUCCAGAAAGGUGAACUCAUAACCAUCCUUUGGACCCCAGCUCAAGAGAUGCUGACUUCUUCAGGGUACAGGGAGAGACUCUCUCUCUCUCUCUCUUUGGACUUUCCUUAUCUGAAUAAGAAAGCAAGCUUCUUUCCAGAAGAAAUGCAAUUUUAAGACCCUCUCCCUAGGAAUCUCAUCAAAUGACCAGCAAAGAUCAACCACCUAAGAAGAGAAGAGACUGGAGUCAUCACUACACCCAGACAGAGUUUUCAUAGAAUUAUCAGAGAGCACCUCAGAGAGAUUACCUGGGGAACUUUAUCUGCAUGAUAAGACAACCUUUCUUUCUGUGUGGUUCUGCCCCUCACCUUCCCAAAGAGAAUCAUUUACUAAUAAUUGUCCCCAUUGGGCCUAUUCAUUCCCCCAUUUUCUUCUCCCCUAUGAAGGGGGCAUUUAUGUCUCAACCAUCUGGCCUCUCUUUGAGUUCAGAUUUUGUAUGACUCUCAUGCAUACAUGUGCAUGUAAUA